CCCGCUGAACUUAAGCAUAUCAAUAAGCGGAGGAAAAGAAACUAACAAGGAUUCCCUUAGUAACUGCGAGUGAAGUGGGAAAAGCUCAAAUUUAAAAUCUGGCGGUCUCUGGCCGUCCGAGUUGUAAUCUAGAGAAGUGCUGCCCGCGCUGGACCGUGUACAAGUCUCCUGGAAUGGAGCGUCAUAGAGGGUGAGAAUCCCGUCUCUGACAUGGACUACCAGGGCUUUGUGGUACGCUCUCAAAGAGUCGAGUUGUUUGGGAAUGCAGCUCAAAAUGGGUGGUAAAUUCCAUCUAAAGCUAAAUAUUGGCGAGAGACCGAUAGCGAACAAGUACCGUGAGGGAAAGAUGAAAAGAACUUUGGAAAGAGAGUUAAACAGUACGUGAAAUUGCUGAAAGGGAAACGCUUGAAGUCAGUCGCGUUGGCCGGGGAUCAGCCUCGCUUUUGCGUGGUGUACUUUCUGGUUGACGGGUCAGCAUCAAUUUUGACCGCUGGAAAAAGGCUUGGGGAAUGUGGCAGCUUCGGCUGUGUUAUAGCCCCUUGUCACAUACAGCGGUUGGGAUUGAGGAACUCAGCACGCCGCAAGGCCGGGUUUCGACCACGUUCGUGCUUAGGAUGCUGGCAUAAUGGCUUUAAGCGACCCGUCUUGAAACACGG
rnacentral:rRNA from 1 species